AUUUUUUUUUAAAAGAAAAAGAAAACAAGAAAAAGAUAAUCCAAAACCCUAGCCUCCACCUUGUUUUCUUCUUCUUCCUCCCAACACCCACAGCCGCCGCCCCUUUUCCCACCCCUCGCCGGCGCCGACCUCUCCGAAGACACAGCUUCCUCCGACGACGUGAUAGCAGCAGCGCAUCCGAGUGUGUUUGGGCAAUUUUCGGCGUUCCACGGCGGCGACCCAAAUCCGGCAGAUCGUGCAAUUUUCUUUCCCCCGGCGUGUUCUCCCCUUCUAGCAAUGGUGGCUCGCGUUUCCGGUGUCCCUCGACCCACUCUUAACCCAAGUGGAUUUGGUGUGAGUUAGGAAUCCUUCGGCAAGCUUAGUAGCGUGUUAGGACCUUGUUAAUUUGCAGGUAACGAGGUCACUCACGAGAAUGGUGGUGGCAAGGAGGAGAAUUGAUGAAGAGAGACCAUAGUGCUGCGCAUUUAAUUUUCAUGUUGAAUAGGAUUGUAGAAGUUGUUUCUUUUAGCUUGAGUUUGAUGUUUGGUUAACUGUUUAGUUUUGCUUAGUUUCUGUUUAAAGAAUGAUUUAAAGUUGUGAUUUUACUAUUCUUUGAGAACUAUAGUUUUGAUUAUCUAUUCGGGUUGUGGCAUUGAAGUUUAUUGAGGUUAGCUAUCAUUGUGUUGUUUCAAGAUGAAAUGAGACUAGUGUUGGCUUCGUAGA